GUCCACACAGUAAACGAUGAUAACUAGCUGUUGGCGAUAGGCUGUCAGUGGCUAAGCGAAAGCGAUAAGUUAUCCACCUGGGGAGUACGACCGCAAGGUUGAAACUCAAAGGAAUUGACGGGGGCCCGCACAAGCGGAGGAACAUGUGGUUUAAUUCGAUGAUACGCGAGGAACCUUACCCGGGCUCGAACGGUGAGUGAAUAAUCAAGAGAUUGAUUAGUCCUUGGGACACUUAUCGAGGUGCUGCAUGGUUGUCGU
rnacentral:rRNA from 1 species